GUGAUCACUUCAGCAGCACAUAUACUAAAAUUGGAACUACAGAGAGAAGGUUAGCAUGGCCCUUGCACAAGGAUGACAUACAAAUUCAUAAAGCAUUCCAUAUUCAG
rnacentral:snRNA from 1 species